CUGUUUUAGAUAAUUUCUUCAUUUCUCUGAUAAAAUUUCUUUACACAGUGCUAUAGGUCUGAGGGGGAAUUAAGAAGAACAUGACAGCUUUCUGCAUUUCCCAGUCACAGCACACCACAUUUCUGCUGAGCCAAUACAGAGCCAUUUGAGAACCAAAAACAUCUUUUAAAAGGCAUCCUAGAAACAUGUCUUCACAGCCUGAAAGCAAACCAUAUACGAGGACUGCUGUGCUUCAUUACAAAGCAAUGACAAGUACCACACAACUAUGACAAAGCUGCUGUUCCAGGAAUGAUUGUGCAGUUCCAGCGACUCUGAACUCCACAGUGGUUAUUUUUAUUCUCCUGUAUAAAAGUUCACCCUCUGUAAAUAGCUUGUAUUGGAUCAUGACAGAAAAAAAAUAAAUGUUUUUACCUCAGAA